rnacentral:rRNA from 1 species
UACGUAGGGUGCGAGCGUUAAUCGGAAUUACUGGGCGUAAAGCGUGCGCAGGCGGUUUUGUAAGCCAGAUGUGAAAUCCCCGGGCUUAACCUGGGAAUGGCAUUUGGGACUGCAAGGCUGGAGUGCGGCAGAGGAGACUGGAAUUCCACGUGUAGCAGUGAAAUGCGUAGAGAUGUGGAGGAAUACCGAUGGCGAAGGCAGCCCCCUGGGUCAAUACUGACGCUCAUGCACGAAAGCGUGGGGAGCAAACAGG